rnacentral:rRNA from 1 species
ACCUCAGCUCGGGUGAGACUACCCCCUGAAUUUAAGCAUAUUAUUAAGGGGAGGAAAAGAAACUAAC